rnacentral:tRNA from 1 species
CAAGGCAGUGGAUUGUGAAUCCCCCAUGCGCG